GUCCCUUGCAUGUGGUGCCCUGUUACUGCUGAUAAGACUUGCACUGCUGACCAUUUACCCCCUAAGAGAAGAAAACUGACAUUGCUUAUAAGUUCAAAAUGACACUGCCAAAACCAGAAGAAAUGGAAAAUAACUGCAGCAUGUUUACGACAUAUUAGCUCCUUUCUCUACAUGAAACACACAAUGAGAACACUUUAUAGAUGAAUUGUGCCUUUGACUGAAUGGAGAAUGGUGGACGAGUUCUGGUUUUGUGGAAUUGGAAAAUUUGUCACAGUUUCUACCUCUGAAAAAUGAAAACCCAAAGGAAAACUAGUAGAAAGACUU